rnacentral:rRNA from 1 species
AGUUUGAUCCUGGCUCAGAUUGAACGCUGGCGGUAUGCUUAACACAUGCAAGUCGAACGGAAACGAUACUAGCUUGUUAGUAGGCGUCGAGUGGCGGACGGGUGAGUAACGCGUAGGAAUCUGCCUGAUAGUGGGGGAUAGCCCGAAGAAAUUCGGAUUAAUACCGCAUAAUCUAUUCGUAGUAAAGUGGGGGACUUUCGAGCCUCACGCUAUCAGAUGAGCCUGCGUAAGAUUAGCUAGUUGGUAGGGUAAAAGCCUACCAAGGCAACGAUCUUUAGCUGGUCUGAGAGGAUGAUCAGCCACAUCGGGACUGAGACACGGCCCGAACUCCUACGGGAGGCAGCAGUGGGGAAUAUUGGACAAUGGGGGCAACCCUGAUCCAGCAAUACCGCGUGUGUGAAGAAGGCCUGAGGGUUGUAAAGCACUUUCAAUUGUGAAGAAAAGUUAACGGUUAAUAACCGUUAGCCUUGACGUUAACUUUAGAAGAAGCACCGGCUAACUCCGUGCCAGCAGCCGCGGUAAUACGGAGGGUGCAAGCGUUAAUCGGAAUUACUGGGCGUAAAGCGUGCGUAGGCGGUUUAUUAAGUCAGAUGUGAAAGCCCCGGGCUUAACCUGGGAACUGCAUUUGAAACUGGUCAACUAGAGUAUGGUAGAGGAAAGUGGAAUUUCUGGUGUAGCGGUGAAAUGCGUAGAUAUCAGAAGGAACAUCAAUGGCGAAGGCAGCUUUCUGGACCAAUACUGACGCUGAGGUACGAAAGCGUGGGUAGCAAACAGGAUUAGAUACCCUGGUAGUCCACGCCGUAAACGAUGAUAACUAGCCGUUGGGGGGAUUUACCCUUUAGUGGCGAAGCUAACGCGUUAAGUUAUCCGCCUGGGGAGUACGGCCGCAAGGUUAAAACUCAAAGGAAUUGACGGGGACCCGCACAAGCGGUGGAGCAUGUGGUUUAAUUCGAUGCAACGCGAAGAACCUUACCUGGUCUUGACAUCCUGCGAACUUUCUAGAAAUAGAUUGGUGCCUUCGGGAACGCAGUGACAGGUGCUGCAUGGCUGUCGUCAGCUCGUGUCGUGAGAUGUUGGGUUAAGUCCCGUAACGAGCGCAACCCCUAUCCUUAUUUGCCAGCACAUUAUGGUGGGAACUAUAAGGAGACUGCCGGUGAUAAACCGGAGGAAGGCGGGGACGACGUCAAGUCAUCAUGGCCCUUACGACCAGGGCUACACACGUGCUACAAUGGGAAGGACAAAGAGCCGCGAAGCCGCGAGGUGUAGCUAAUCUCAUAAAUCUUUUCGUAGUCCGGAUUGGAGUCUGCAACUCGACUCCAUGAAGUCGGAAUCGCUAGUAAUCGUAGAUCAGAAUGCUACGGUGAAUACGUUCCCGGGUCUUGUACACACCGCCCGUCAUACCAUGGGAGUGGGUUGCACCAGAAGUGGCUAGUCUAACUUUGUGAGGACGGUCACCACGGUGUGAUUCAUGACUGGGGUAAAGUCGUAACAAGGUAACC